rnacentral:rRNA from 1 species
GGACUACCGGGGUAUCUAAUCCUGUUUGCUCCCCACGCUUUCGCGCCUCAGCGUCAGUAUCUGUCCAGGCAGCCGCCUUCGCCACUGGUGUUCCUUCCGAUCUCUACGCAUUUCACCGCUACACCGGAAAUUCCACUGCCCUCUACAGUACUCCAGCGCGCCAGUCACCAGUGCAGUUCCUAGGUUGAGCCCAGGGAUUUCACACCAGUCUUAACGCGCCGCCUACGCGCCCUUUACGCCCAGUAACUCCGAUUAACGCUCGCACCCUCUGUAUUACCGCGGCUGCUGGCAC